ensembl:lncRNA
AAGCUUGUAGCCUGCCUUCCGCUUUGGGAUGACUCCCAUUUUUAGGGAGGAGACAUGAGCAUCUCUUUAUAUACGUAUCUCUGGCUAACGUUAGCGAUCUUGUGCAUACCGCGCUUAAGGCUAGAUUAGAUAUAUGUAUUCAUAUUGUUUUUGCAAACGUUCUAAACAAGCAGGCCAUACAAGUGAAAUAAUGUUCAGCAACUUAACUACUACUAUAGUUCUCACCCGGGCAUUUACGAAAGUGUCAAAAGUAUCAAAUAUGUCUGACACAUGGAAACACAAAAGUUCUAGCUUGCAAAAUGUGUUUUACAGGCAAUGCAGCUCCGAGGGAGACUACAAGUGAAGACUAUCAUCUAGGAUGCACUAGCGCGUCCUUAUCGAAUUAUUAGGCGCAUAUUGAAGAUGUUAAAAGUAUGGAAGGCCAAGAGUUUCAAAUUGUCCUAUGGGCAUUUUUACACGUGUUCAUUACACCUGUUCAGUGUGCAUUUACAGGAAUCUCCGAAUGCUAUGUUGAAUGAGCACCAUGGAUUAAGGAAGGGGAGGAAAACAGACAGCUUCUUUCUACCACAUCUUCACCAAGUCAUACAAUGUUUGCUUCAUGAACAAUUCUUACAUCUGAAAUAAAUACAGAAUCAUUUUAGUUUAUUCUGUUCCUAAUGCUGGAUGUGAGUAAUUUAGCAGGUCUAUAGUAUGUAUUGUUUUGAAACGUUUAUUUAAUAUCUAUUCAGUCAACUAAUUUAUUUUAUGUUUGCUAAAAGAAUGUAUGUUUUGUACUGUUACUUUUUACAUGCUGAAACAGUCUCAUUAGUUUUGAGCUAGGCUAUGAUUGGGGAAAUGUCUACUGUAAAUGUUUAUUUCCCUUAAUGAGAACUUGGACAAUGUCAGGGAAUAAGUAGGAUAAAUGGACAUCCUAUCAAUGACAAAAUAAACUGCAGAGGUAGCCUUAAAAGAUAACAUUAGAUCUGUGCAUGUUAUUACUGGACAGACGGCUAGCCAGAGCAGUGACCACAUUUUCACAUGGAUGUAUAUACAAAAUGCAACAUGUAAAGUGUUGGUCUCAUGCACUGAAAUAAAAGAUCCCAGACAUUUUCCAUAGGCACAAGAGGCUUAUUUAUCUCAAAUGUUGUGCACCCUGGUCCUUCCUCCGCUGCC